CAGUAGCCGCGGUAAUACGAGGGGGGCAAGCGUCGUUCGGAAUUAUUGGGCGUAAAGGGUGCGUAGGCGGUUUGAUAAGUCUGAUGUGAAAUCUCUGGGCUCAACCCAGAGUCUGCAUCGGAAACUGUCGGGCUUGAGUAUGGGAGAGGUGAGUGGAAUUUCCGGUGUAGCGGUGAAAUGCGUAGAUAUCGGAAGGAACACCUGUGGCGAAAGCGGCUCACUGGGCCAUUACUGACGCUGAUGCACGAAAGCUAGGGGAGCAAACAGGAUUAGAGACCCCAGUAGUCCCUGUCUCUUAUAC
rnacentral:rRNA from 1 species